rnacentral:rRNA from 1 species
AACAAGGAUUCCCCUAGUAACUGCGAGUGAAGCGGGAAGAGCUCAAAUUUUGAAUCUGGCGGUCCUCGUGGUCGUCCGAGUUGUAAUCUAGAGAAGCGUUUUCCGCGCUGGACCGUGUACAAGUCUCCUGGAACGGAGCGUCAUAGAGGGUGAGAAUCCCGUCUCUGACACGGACUACCAGGNCUUUUGUGAUGCGCUCUCGACGAGUCGAGUUGUUUGGGAAUGCAGCUCAAAUUGGGUGGUAAAUUCCAUCUAAAGCUAAAUACAGGCGAGAGACCGAUAGCGAACAAGUACCGUGAGGGAAAGAUGAAAAGGACUUUGGAAAGAGAGUUAAACAGUACGUGAAAUUGCUGAAAGGGAAACGCUUGAAGUCAGUCGCGUUGGCCGGGGAUCAGCCUUGCAAUCUUGUUGGGUGCAUUUCCUGGUUGACGGGUCAGCAUCAAUUUUGACCGUCGGAGAAGGGUCGAGGGAAUGUGGCAUCCUUCGGGGUGUGUUAUAGCCUUUGAUCGUAUGCGACGGUUGGGAUUGAGGAACUCAGCAUGACCCCUCGUGGGUUUGGGGCUUCGGCUCACAUCCAUGCUUAGGAUGCUGGCAUAAUGGCUUUAAGCGACCCGUCUUGAAACACGGACCAAGGAGUCUAACAUGCCCGCGAGUGUUUGGGUGUUUAAAACCCGAGCGCGUAAUGAAAGUGAAAGUUGAGACCUCUGUCGUGGAGGGCAUCGACGCCCGGACCAGAACUUUUGUGACGGCCCUGCGGUAGAGCGUGUAUGUUGGGACCCGAAAGAUGGUGAACUAUGCCUGAAUAGGGUGAAGCCAGAGGAAACUCUGGUGGAGGCUCGUAGCGAUUCUGACGUGCAAAUCGAUCGUCGAAUUUGGG